GCGAGCGUAGUUUAGUGGCAAAAUACCUGCCUUCCAAGCAGGGGAUGCGAGUUCGAUUCUCGCCGCUCGCA
rnacentral:tRNA from 1 species